rnacentral:rRNA from 1 species
AGGUGUCCUAGUGGCGAACGGGUGAGUAACACGUAGGUAACCUACCCCGAAGAGGGGGAUAACCUCGGGAAACUGAGGCUAAUACCCCAUGUGCUCCACGGUAUUAGAUGACCAUGGAGUAAAGGAGUAAUCCGCUUUGGGAGGGGCCUGCGGCCCAUCAGCUAGUUGGUAGGGUAAUGGCCUACCAAGGCUAUGACGGGUAGGGGGCCUGAGAGGGUGGUCCCCCACACUGACACUGAAACACGGGUCAGACACCUACGGGUGGCAGCAGUAGGGAAUAUUGCACAAUGGGCGAAAGCCUGAUGCAGCAACGCCGCGUGCGCGAUGAAGGCCUUCGGGUUGUAAAGCGCUUUUCUGGGGGAAGAGUAAGGACGGUACCCCAGGAAUAAGUCUCGGCUAACUACGUG